ACGGGUGAGUAACGCGUGGGCAACCUGCCUUACACAGGGGGAUAACAGUUAGAAAUGACUGCUAAUACCGCAUAAGACCACGGUACUGCAUGGUAUAGUGGUAAAAACUCCGGUGGUGUAAGAUGGGCCCGCGUCUGAUUAGGUAGUUGGCGGGGUAACGGCCCACCAAGCCGACGAUCAGUAGCCGACCUGAGAGGGUGACCGGCCACAUUGGGACUGAGACACGGCCCAGACUCCUACGGGAGGCAGCAGUGGGGAAUAUUGGUCAAUGGCCGAGAGGCUGAACCAGCCAAGUUGCGUGAGGGAAGAAUGUCCUAAGGAUUGUAAACCUCUUUUGUCGGGGAGCAAAAAGGCUCUGCGGAGUCGUAUUGAGAGUACCCGAAGAAAAAGCAUCGGCUAACUCCGUGCCAGCAGCCGCGGUAAUACGGAGGAUGCGAGCGUUAUCCGGAUUUAUUGGGUUUAAAGGGUGCGCAGGCGGCGUGUCAAGCAAGCGGUAAAAUAGCGGGGCUCAACCCCGUCGAGCCGUUUGAACUGGCGCGCUUGAGUUCAGGCGAGGUAGGCGGAAUUCGUGGUGUAGCGGUGAAAUGCAUAGAUAUCACGAAGAACUCCGAUUGCGAAGGCAGCUUACCAGUCUGCGACUGACGCUCAGGCACGAAAGUGUGGGUAUCGAACAGGAUUAGAUACCCUGGUAGUCCACACAGUAAACGAUGAGCGCUAGGUGUCCGGGUCGCAUGAGACUUGGGUGCCCGAGCGAAAGCGUUAAGCGCUCCACCUGGGGAGUACGCCGGCAACGGUGAAACUCAAAGGAAUUGACGGGGGCCCGCACAAGCGGAGGAACAUGUGGUUUAAUUCGAUGAUACGCGAGGAACCUUACCCGGGCUCAAACGGGAGUGGAAUGGACCAGAGACGGUUCAGCCUACGGGCCGCUUCCGAGGUGCUGCAUGGUUGUCGUCAGCUCGUGCCGUGAGGUGUCGGCUUAAGUGCCAUAACGAGCGCAACCCCCGCCGGCAGUUGCUAACGGGCAAUGCCGAGGACUCUGCCGGGACUGCCGCCGCAAGGCGAGAGGAAGGCGGGGAUGACGUCAAAUCAGCACGGCCCUUACGUCCGGGGCGACACACGUGUUACAAUGGGCGGUACAGCGAGAAGCGAACCUGCGAAGGCAAGCGGAUCUCUUAAAGCUGUUCUCAGUUCGGACUGUAGGCUGCAACUCGCCUACACGAAGCUGGAAUCGCUAGUAAUCGCGGAUCAGCACGCCGCGGUGAAUACGUUCCCGGGUCUUGUACUCACCGCCCGUCAAG
rnacentral:rRNA from 1 species